GACAGAGGUGCCAAGCGUUAGGCGGAAUCACUGGGCUUAAAGCGUGUGUAGGCGGAUCGUUAAGUACCUUGUGAAAUCCCACGGCUCAACCGUGGAACUGCUCGGUAUACUGGCGGUCUUGAGCCACCUAGGGGCAGCUGGAACAAGCGGUGGAGCGGUGAAAUGCGUAGAUAUCGGAAGGAACACCAGUGGCGAAAGCGGCUUCCUGGUCCAGCAUCGACGUUCAGGCACGAAAGCGUGGGGAGCAAACAGG
rnacentral:rRNA from 1 species